rnacentral:rRNA from 1 species
CCUACGGGUGGCAGCAGUGAGGAAUAUUGGUCAAUGGGCGCGAGCCUGAACCAGCCAAGCCGCGUGAGGGAUGAAUGUCCUACGGGUUGUAAACCUCUUUUGUAAAGGAAUAAAGUGAGGCACGUGUGCCUUGUUGUAUGUACUUUAUGAAUAAGGAUCGGCUAACUCCGUGCCAGCAGCCGCGGUAAUACGGAGGAGCCGAGCGUUAUCCGGAUUUAUUGGGUUUAAAGGGUGCGUAGAUGGGUUGUUAAGUCAGUUGUGAAAGUUCGCGGCUCAACCGCAGGAUUGCAAUUGAAACUGGCAGUCUUGAGUUCAGGUGAGGUAGGCGGAAUUCGUGGUGUAGCGGUGAAAUGCUUAGAUAUCACGAAGAACUCCGAUUGCGAAGGCAGCUUACUGAACUGCCACUGACAUUGAUGCUCGAAAGUGUGGGUAUCAAACAGGAUUAGAUACCCCAGUAGUC